rnacentral:lncRNA from 1 species
CCUAACUUUGCCCUGAAAGUAGAAAGUGACCUCACUUAUCCAGACACUGGAGGAGGUGGACAUGGCUGAUGGCAGCCUGGAGCUCUGCCAGCGCAGGCCCACUUGGCCCUACUGCACCCCGCAGGUGGCAAAGCAGGGCCAGGCCAUGUCCCUUUCUUGCACAGAGCAAGUCAGGGCAGACGGUGGGGGCUGUGCCUGGGGAAAUUUGGACCCAGACACACAUAGAGGGAAGACAAUAUGAAGAGACACAGAAAGAAGAUGACCAUCUACAAGCCAGGGAGAGAUGCCUGAAACAGAUUCUCACGCAUCGUCCUCAGAAGAAACCAGUCUUGCCAACACCUUGAUGUGGGACUUGAGACAAUCAAUGUAUGUUGUGUAAGCCUCUAGUCUGUGUUGUUUGCUAGAGCCGCCCCAGGAAACUGAUACAGAAGAGAAGGUAAGAGACGUGGUGACCAAAAAAGGAGAAGCAGAGAUGGCCAAGGUGAGGCAAGCAGAGGAUGUGAUGUGUGUGUUUGUGUGCGCAUGUGUGUGAGUGCAUUUGUGCACGUGUGCAUGUGUGCAUGAGUAUGGGCAUGCACCUGUGUUCUGAGGACCCAGGUUCACCUUAAUCCCAACUAUAGGGAUGACUAUUGAGACAUUUCAGCACACCUGUGGACCCCCCCCCCAACACCUAUCACAGCACCCAGCAAGGCUGAUGCCGCGCUAAUGUGCAUUUUAUAAACUCCAGACACAGAUGCAGUUGAAGCUCUGGGACCCACUGUAGGUGGAACUCACAUGCUCUCACCAUCUUUACUCUUGGGCUCCUUCACUAGAAGUUGGCUCCUAGAAAGCAUGGAGGAUCUGGCUCUCAGUGAUUUGUCUAUUCCCAGUGGCUGACAUUUAAUAACUGCUUUGAAAUGAAUGGCUGAUGAACCACUGAUGGAGGAACACAAAAUAAAUAAAUGAAAGUUAACCAAACUGUUAGAGUCACCAUCGGGAUGUGUUCUGGGGUCCAUACAUAGCUUGCCAAGACAGAAGCCCCAGCGUCAUGCAAAUUUGGUCAAAAAUACUGUUCUGAUUGCUCAGGACCUGAGAAUUAUAAACAAGAUGUUAAGUCCCUAGGAUGAUGGAAGACUGGCUUCAUCCACAGGGUGGGAAGGCAUAGAGCGCCCACAGCACUGUUGAUAAUUACCUGAGACAGAUGGGGCAAGAGGAGGGUGGCAGCCUUUGAGAGGCUGGGCUCCAGCCCCCUGAGCCCUCCACUACCCCCAAGCCAGAGUCCUCAGGCGCAGUGGAUCAGGGCCACUGACAGAUCCAGAUAACCCCUCUAGUUUCAGUCUAGAGUUUUAACCUCUUCAGACCUCAGUUCCCGCAUCUGUAAAACAGCCAUAAAAUCAACUUCCCAAGGUCAUAGGGAGAUGACAGAUGAAAAUGAGUCUUGCAAACGGUAGCAUAUUUCACAAUUAUUGACUAUGUAUUUGCAUUGUAAUGAAAAAUAACCUCUUCUGUAGCCAAUUUAGUGGAGUUUACUAGCAAAUGGUAAAGGCGUUCCUCAUGGGCUUUACACGGAGAUGGACCAUGGCUG